rnacentral:rRNA from 1 species
GACGGGGGAUGCAAGUGUUAUCCGGAAUCACUGGGCGUAAAGCGUCUGUAGGUGGUUAAAUAAGUCAACUGUUAAAUCUUGAGGCUUAACUUCAAAAUCGCAGUCGAAACUGUUUGACUAGAGGAUAGUAGGGGUAAAGGGAAUUUCCAGUGGAGCGGUGAAAUGCGUAGAUAUUGGAAAGAACACCGAUGGCGAAGGCACUUUACUGGGCUAUUACUAACACUGAGAGACGAAAGCUAGGGUAGCAAAUGGG